rnacentral:misc_RNA from 1 species
GAUGAAGAACGUAGCGAAAUGCGAUAAGUAAUGUAAAUUGCAGAAUCCAGUGAAUCAUCGAAUCUUUGAACGCACAUUGCGCCCGCCAGCAUUCUGGCGGGCAUGCCUGUUCGAGCGUCAUUUCAACCCUCGACCUCCCUUUGGGGAAGUCGGCGUUGGGGACCGGCAGCACACCGCCGGCCCUGAAAUGGAGUGGCGGCCCGUCCGCGGCGACCUCUGCGUAGUAAACCAACUCGCACCGGAACCCCGACGUGGCCACGCCGUAAAACACCCAACUUCUGAACGUUGACCUCGAAUCAGGUAGGACUACCCGCUGAACUUAAGCAUAUCAAUAAGCGGAGGA